UACGUAAGGGGCGAGCGUUGUUCGGAAUCAUUGGGCGUAAAGGGUGCGUAGGCGGGACACCAAGUCAGAUGUGCAAUAUUAGGGCUCAACUUUGAUACUGCGUCUGAAACUCGUGUUCUAGAGGUUUGCAGAGGUUAGCGGAAUUCCAGGUGUAGGAGUGAAAUCUAUAGAUAUCUGGAAGAACACCGGUGGCGAAGGCGGCUAACUGGGUUUUACCUGACGCUGAAGCACGAAAGCGUGGGGAGCGAACAGG
rnacentral:rRNA from 1 species